rnacentral:rRNA from 1 species
GAUGAACGCUGGCGGCGUGCCUAAUACAUGCAAGUCGAGCGAACAGAUGAGGAGCUUGCUCCUCUGACGUUAGCGGCGGACGGGUGAGUAACACGUGGAUAACCUACCUAUAAGACUGGGAUAACUUCGGGAAACCGGAGCUAAUACCGGAUAAUAUAUUGAACCGCAUGGUUCAAUAGUGAAAGACGGUUUUGCUGUCACUUAUAGAUGGAUCCGCGCCGCAUUAGCUAGUUGGUAAGGUAACGGCUUACCAAGGCAACGAUGCGUAGCCGACCUGAGAGGGUGAUCGGCCACACUGGAACUGAGACACGGUCCAGACUCCUACGGGAGGCAGCAGUAGGGAAUCUUCCGCAAUGGGCGAAAGCCUGACGGAGCAACGCCGCGUGAGUGAUGAAGGUCUUCGGAUCGUAAAACUCUGUUAUUAGGGAAGAACAAAUGUGUAAGUAACUAUGCACGUCUUGACGAUACCUAAUCAGAAAGCCACGGCUAACUACGU